rnacentral:misc_RNA from 1 species
AUUUGGGUGGGACAUUGUAAUAUCCAUUUUGGCUGGUCUAUUUAGAAAGUUAGUUAAUGGAAACAAAAACUUUAUAAAUAAUUAUUUUUAAUGAAGCCUUAUUUCUUUUAGUUUCUCUUCAUUGUCUUCUUCUCUCUCUUUUUAUGCUGUUAAUAAUUUGCCUGAUUUCAGGUUGGUGCUAAGAGAUACUAUUUAUAUGCAUGUCAUUCAAAAUUUCUGCUGUGGUUAUAAAUUUUUCUUUCUAAAUUUCAUAUAAUUCUACCUUAAUGAGAAAGGAAAAAAAA